rnacentral:rRNA from 1 species
CAGCAGCCACGGUAAUACGAAGGGGGCUAGCGUUGUUCGGAAUUACUGGGCGUAAAGGGCGCGUAGGCGGCCAUUCAAGUUAGAUGUGAAAGCCCUGGGCUUAACAUGGGGACUGCGCUUAAUACAGGCAGUCUAGAGUGAGGAAGAGGGUUGUGGAAUUCCCAGUGUAGAGGUGAAAUUCGUAGAUAUUGGGAAGAACACCGGUGGCGAAGGCGGCAACCUGGUCCUUGACUGACGCUGAGGCGCGAAAGCGUGGGGAGCAAACAGGAUUAGAUACCCCCGUAGUCCCUGUCUCUUAUAC